rnacentral:rRNA from 1 species
AACGCGAAGAACCUUACCAGGUCUUGACAUCCAUUAAAAGCCGUAGAGAUACGGUGUGAGCUUGCUCGUAAUGAGACAGGUGGUGCAUGGUUGUCGUCAGCUCGUGUCGUGAGAUGUUGGGUUAAGUCCCGCAACGAGCGCAACCCUUGUGAUCAGUUACUAACGGGUAAAGCCGAGGACUCUGAUAAGACUGCCGGGGACAACUCGGAGGAAGGUGGGGACGACGUCAAAUCAUCAUGCCCCUUAUGACCUGGGCUACACACGUGCUACAAUGGCCACUACAGAGAGAAGCGAAUUCGAGAGGAAGAGCGGAUCUCAAAAAAGUGGUCUCAGUUCGGAUUGUGGGCUGCAACCCGCCCACAUGAAGUCGGAGUUGCUAGUAAUCGCGGAUCAGCAUGCCGCGGUGAAUACGUUCCCGGGUCUUGUACACACCG